UACAGAGGGUGCGAGCGUUAAUCGGAAUUACUGGGCGUAAAGCGUGCGCAGGCGGUUAUGUAAGACAGGUGUGAAAUCCCCGGGCUUAACCUGGGAACUGCAUUUGUGACUGCAUAGCUAGAGUACGGUAGAGGGGGAUGGAAUUCCGCGUGUAGCAGUGAAAUGCGUAGAUAUGCGGAGGAACACCCGAUGGCGAAGGCAAUCCCCCUGGACCUGUACUGACGCUCAUGCACGAAAAGCGUGGGGGGAGCAAAACAGGAUU
rnacentral:rRNA from 1 species